rnacentral:misc_RNA from 1 species
CCGAGUUUACAACUCCCAAACCCCUGUGAACAUACCUAUCGUUGCUUCGGCGGGAUCGCCCCGGCGCCUUCGGGCCCGGACCCAGGCGCCCGCCGGAGGACCCAAACCCUUGUAUUAUUUUGAGUAUCUUCUGAGUAAACAAGCAAAUAAAUCA